rnacentral:rRNA from 1 species
AAAUUGAAGAGUUUGAUCAUGGCUCAGAUUGAACGCUGGCGGCAGGCCUAACACAUGCAAGUCGAACGGUAACAGGAAGCAGCUUGCUGCUUUGCUGACGAGUGGCGGACGGGUGAGUAAUGUCUGGGAAACUGCCUGAUGGAGGGGGAUAACUACUGGAAACGGUGGCUAAUACCGCAUAAUGUCGCAAGACCAAAGAGGGGGACCUUCGGGCCUCUUGCCAUCAGAUGUGCCCAGAUGGGAUUAGCUUGUUGGUGAGGUAACGGCUCACCAAGGCGACGAUCCCUAGCUGGUCUGAGAGGAUGACCAGCCACACUGGAACUGAGACACGGUCCAGACUCCUACGGGAGGCAGCAGUGGGGAAUAUUGCACAAUGGGCGCAAGCCUGAUGCAGCCAUGCCGCGUGUAUGAAGAAGGCCUUCGGGUUGUAAAGUACUUUCAGCGGGGAGGAAGGUGUUGUGGUUAAUAACCGCAGCAAUUGACGUUACCCGCAGAAGAAGCACCGGCUAACUCCGUGCCAGCAGCCGCGGUAAUACGGAGGGUGCAAGCGUUAAUCGGAAUUACUGGGCGUAAAGCGCACGCAGGCGGUCUGUCAAGUCGGAUGUGAAAUCCCCGGGCUCAACCUGGGAACUGCAUUCGAAACUGGCAGGCUUGAGUCUUGUAGAGGGGGGUAGAAUUCCAGGUGUAGCGGUGAAAUGCGUAGAGAUCUGGAGGAAUACCGGUGGCGAAGGCGGCCCCCUGGACAAAGACUGACGCUCAGGUGCGAAAGCGUGGGGAGCAAACAGGAUUAGAUACCCUGGUAGUCCACGCCGUAAACGAUGUCUACUUGGAGGUUGUGCCCUUGAGGCGUGGCUUCCGGAGCUAACGCGUUAAGUAGACCGCCUGGGGAGUACGGCCGCAAGGUUAAAACUCAAAUGAAUUGACGGGGGCCCGCACAAGCGGUGGAGCAUGUGGUUUAAUUCGAUGCAACGCGAAGAACCUUACCUGGUCUUGACAUCCACAGAACAUUCCAGAGAUGGAUUGGUGCCUUCGGGAACUGUGAGACAGGUGCUGCAUGGCUGUCGUCAGCUCGUGUUGUGAAAUGUUGGGUUAAGUCCCGCAACGAGCGCAACCCUUAUCCUUUGUUGCCAGCGGUCCGGCCGGGAACUCAAAGGAGACUGCCAGUGAUAAACUGGAGGAAGGUGGGGAUGACGUCAAGUCAUCAUGGCCCUUACGACCAGGGCUACACACGUGCUACAAUGGCGCAUACAAAGAGAAGCGACCUCGCGAGAGCAAGCGGACCUCAUAAAGUGCGUCGUAGUCCGGAUUGGAGUCUGCAACUCGACUCCAUGAAGUCGGAAUCGCUAGUAAUCGUGGAUCAGAAUGCCACGGUGAAUACGUUCCCGGGCCUUGUACACACCGCCCGUCACACCAUGGGAGUGGGUUGCAAAAGAAGUAGGUAGCUUAACCUUCGGGAGGGCGCUUACCACUUUGUGAUUCAUGACUGGGGUGAAGUCGUAACAAGGUAACCGUAGGGGAACCUGCGGUUGGAUCACCUCCUUACCUUAAAGAA